rnacentral:tRNA from 1 species
GGCCGAGUAGCUCAGUUGGUAGAGCAGGGGAUUGAAAAUCNNCGUGUCGGCGGUUCGAUUCCGUCCUCGGCCACCA